UUUAUUUGUUUUUACGGUGAAAAAAAAUUCUAAUGUAAUAAUAUAUUUAUAAACGACGAAUAGUUUUUAACUUAUAAUAUAAUAAAUACAAGUAUACAACAAUCAAAGGAAAAUUAACAAUGAGAACACGUAGGUAUAGGGGAUCUUCAGGUAACACGUGCGUUUCCGCAGACGGGUUCAUCGUACGACCUGCACGGAUUCCAAGGAUCUCGCAUAACAUAUUACAUAUUAGCCGCCCUUAUAUUAUUCAAUAGGUACUAAAUAUUUCAAAACACCAAAUAUCAUCACGAAGAGAGGACAGGUCCAGUAUGGAACCUACCGCUAAAUUUGACUUAUCUAUCUAACAAUCAGGCUAUAGGUACCGUUCACUUAAAAUAUUUAGUUACAUAACUUGAAACAGUAAAAUAUCGUCUAUUAUUAAUCCAUCUUAUAUUAAUAAGUAUAUUUAUGUGUAUAUAAACUACACUUUUAUAGAAAAUAUUUUUGUACAAA